AGUGAACGCUGGCGGUAGGCCUAACACAUGCAAGUCGAACGGCAGCACAGUAAGAGCUUGCUCUUACGGGUGGCGAGUGGCGGACGGGUGCGGAAUACAUCGGAAUCUACUUUUUCGUGGGGGAUAACGUAGGGAAACUUACGCUAAUACCGCAUACGACCUACGGGUGAAAGCAGGGGAUCUUUGGACCUUGCGCGAUUGAAUGAGCCGAUGUCGGAUUAGCUAGUUGGCGGGGUAAAGGCCCACCAAGGCGACGAACCGUAGCUGGUCUGAGAGGGUGGACGGCCACACGGGAACUGAGACACGGUCCAGACACCUGAGGUGGGCAGCAGUGGGGAAUAUUAGGCGAGGGGGGCGAGCCGGAUACAGCAAUAUCGAGGGGGUGAAGAAGGAGUGCGGGUUGUAAAGCGCUUUUGGUGGGAAAGAAGUGCAGCACGUUAAUACCGCGCGGUUCUGACGGUACCCAAAGAAUAAGCACCGGCUAACUUCGUG
rnacentral:rRNA from 1 species